UACGUAGGGUGCGAGCGUUAAUCGGAAUUACUGGGCGUAAAGCGUGCGCAGGCGGUUUUGUAAGUCAGAUGUGAAAUCCCCGGGCUUAACCUGGGAACUGCGUUUGAAACUACAAGGCUAGAGUGUAGCAGAGGGGGGUGGAAUUCCACGUGUAGCAGUGAAAUGCGUAGAGAUGUGGAGGAACACCGAUGGCGAAGGCAGCCCACUAAACUGUAACUGACGCUGAGGCACGAAAGCGUGGGGAGCAAACAGG
rnacentral:rRNA from 1 species